rnacentral:rRNA from 1 species
CUACGGGCCGCUGCAGUGAGGAAUCUUGCGCAAUGGGGGAAACCCUGACGCAGCGACGCCGCGUGGGUGAUGAAGGCCUUCGGGUCGUAAAGCCCUGUCGAGAGGGAAGAAUUGCAUUUAGGUUAAUAGCCUAAUUGUUUGACGGUACCUCCAAAGGAAGCACCGGCUAACUCCGUGCCAGCAGCCGCGGUAAUACGGAGGGUGCAAGCGUUGUUCGGAAUCACUGGGCGUAAAGGGCGUGUAGGCGGCUGAGUAAGUCAGGUGUGAAAUCCCUCGGCUCAACCGAGGAAGUGCAUUUGAUAAUGCUCAUCUUGAGUACUGGAGAGGGAGAUGGAAUUCCCGGUGUAGAGGUGAAAUUCGUAGAUAUCGGGAGGAACACCAGUGGCGAAGGCGAUCUCCUGGACAGAUACUGACGCUAAGGCGCGAAAGCGUGGGGAGCAAACAGGAUUAGAUACCCUUGUAGUC